AAGGGAGACCUAAUUCAGGUAGGAGACGAAAAAAAAGUAGUCCCAACCAAGAAUCAAUCCCAAAAGGUCGGAGCGAGGCGAAAUUGGCUUUCAAACUAGGUUCUGGGUUCACACAAGACCUGAAUCAGGAACAAGGGCUAUUAGCUCAGGUGGUUAGAGCGCACCCCUGAUAAGGGUGAGGUCCCUGGUUCGAGUCCAGGAUGGCCCACCUGUACAGGUGGCAAAAACAAAGAAAAGAAGCGAGGAAUCAGCACCUUAUCUUACUUAUAUAGUAAGAGAGAAUGCUGGCUCUGAGUUCAGAGUCCAGAGGAACCUUGAAAACUGCAUAGAGCUAGGUGAAAAAGCCAAAAAAGAAGACCGCAA
rnacentral:tRNA from 1 species